rnacentral:tRNA from 1 species
GAGGGUAUAGCUUAGUGGUAGAGCACAUACUUAGCAUGCAUGAGGUCCAGGGUUUAAUACUCAAUACCUCCA